UACGGGGGGGGCAAGCGUUGUUCGGAAUUACUGGGCGUAAAGGGCUUGUAGGUGGCCAACUAAGUCCGACGCGAAAUCCCUAGGCUUAACCUAGGAACUGCGUCGGAUACUGGAUGGCUUGAAUCCGGGAGAGGGAUGCGGAAUUCCAGGUGUAGCGGUGAAAUGCGUAGAUAUCUGGAGGAACACCGGUGGCGAAGGCGGCAUCCUGGACCGGUAUUGACACUGAAAAGCGAAAGCCAGGGGAGCAAACGGG
rnacentral:rRNA from 1 species